rnacentral:lncRNA from 1 species
UAAUACUACCUUUAAUGACGGUUUUGUUAAGAACCGUCAUUAAAAAUAAAUUAUUUUUAAUGACGGUUCUUAACAAAACCGUCAUUGAAAGUCAUACUUUUUAAUGACCGUUAUAUAUUAUAACGGUCAUUAUAUAUAUAAUUAAAAUGCUUUUAAUUUUAAUGACGGUUCUUUAAGAACCGUCAUUAAAAAUUGACAUUUUUAGUGACAGUUGUAUAAAACAACCGUCAUCGUAUAUAUUGAUAUAGUUAUAAAAAAAAAAAAAAAUUGGCCUUAUACUGAACACCAAAUCCCUAAAAUUACAGAUAAUUUGUAAACAUUAAAAGCAAUGGCGCACGCACGCACGCCGCCGGUACACUUAGCCCAUGCAGCAGCAACCGAGCACGGUAGCAACAGGCCACCAGCAGUCGCUCUCUCUCUCACGCACACGCAGCAGCAAGCCAACACCAAUAGCCCCUCUUUCUCAUGCUCACUCUCUACUAUGCCCUCUUACGUACUCAAGAAAACUCUAACCCAUAUCCAAACCCUCGCCGUCGAAGAAAACCCAAUCCUUAAUGGCUUGAAAUUAAAGCCUCCACCGUCAAUCACCAUCGAACCAAAUAAACCCUAGCCUUACCAUCACUCUUCGUUUGACUCGCUGAAGAAAGCACUCUAUUAGGUGAGUCUCUGUUGUUUGAUAAUAUAUCUGCACUCUUUGUUGGCCGAAGCUUUUAGACAAUUGCUUUGAUUCAAUUGCUUCGAUUGGUUAGUUCUCUGUGAUUAAUUAGUUAGUUACUUUUAAUUUCAUAUUUUCAUCUCUAACAGUGAAUUUGGGAGUNNNN